UACUAAUUUGCUCAGUGGCUAAGAUGUCAGACUUCUGAUCGAAAGGUCGUGAGUUCAAAUCUCAGCAAUGCCAA